AGAGUUUGAUCCUGGCUCAGGAUGAACGCUGGCGGCACGCUUAACACAUGCAAGUCGAGCGAGAGAGUUUUGCGGAAAGGCUUCGGCCUGGAAGGGAAAUGAUCUAGCGGCGGACGGGUGAGUAACACGUGGGUAACCUACCCUAUACAGGGGGAUAACGUAUAGAAAUGUACGCUAAUACCGCAUAAGCCUACAGGUUCGCAUGAACUAGUAGGAAAAGCCGAGACGGUAUAGGAUGGGCCCGCGACUGAUUAGCUAGUUGGGGAGGUAAAGGCUUACCAAGGCAACGAUCAGUAGCCGGUCUGAGGGGAUGGACGGCCACAUUGGGACUGAGACACGGCCCAGACUCCUACGGGAGGCAGCAGUGGGGAAUAUUGCACAAUGGGGGGAACCCUGAUGCAGCGAUGCCGCGUGAAGGAAGAAGAUUUUCGGAUCGUAAACUUCUAUCAGCAAGGAAGAAGAAGGACAGUACUUGACUAAGCAGCCCCGGCUAACUACGUG
rnacentral:rRNA from 1 species